GGGGGUGUAAAGGUUUCGACGGGGGCUUUGAACGACCGAAAGCGAGCAGAGGUGCGGUACCUCUUUAAAAGCCGCAAAUUUUAAAAAAUAAACGACAACUCUAAAGUUGCUCUUGCUGCUUAAUUAAUGCAGCCCGUCCUGCCUCGGAGUACCGCGGCUGAGAACAGGGCGUCGAUUAGCGGUGAACGUGAACAGAGGGAUGCCACUCUUUCUGUCACGGCGUAGUGGCUACCGUAACGCAUAGCCUGCCUUUCGGCGAUGCGUGAGGGGAAUCUCAAAAGAUCGGCUGCAAUCGGAGAAAGCUGUAUCAAGUGGUUUUCGGACAGGGGUUCGAUUCCCCUCGCCUCCACCA
rnacentral:tmRNA from 1 species